rnacentral:rRNA from 1 species
AUUGAACGCUGGCGGUAGGCCUAACACAUGCAAGUCGAGCGGUAGCACAGAGAGCUUGCUCUCGGGUGACGAGCGGCGGACGGGUGAGUAAUGUCUGGGAAACUGCCUGAUGGAGGGGGAUAACUACUGGAAACGGUAGCUAAUACCGCAUAACGUCGCAAGACCAAAGUGGGGGACCUUCGGGCCUCAUGCCAUCAGAUGUGCCCAGAUGGGAUUAGCUGGUAGGUGGGGUAACGGCUCACCUAGGCGACGAUCCCUAGCUGGUCUGAGAGGAUGACCAGCCACACUGGAACUGAGACACGGUCCAGACUCCUACGGGAGGCAGCAGUGGGGAAUAUUGCACAAUGGGCGCAAGCCUGAUGCAGCCAUGCCGCGUGUGUGAAGAAGGCCUUCGGGUUGUAAAGCACUUUCAGCGGGGAGGAAGGCGAUAAGGUUAAUAACCUUGUCGAUUGACGUUACCCGCAGAAGAAGCACCGGCUAACUCCGUGCCAGCAGCCGCGGUAAUACGGAGGGUGCAAGCGUUAAUCGGAAUUACUGGGCGUAAAGCGCACGCAGGCGGUCUGUCAAGUCGGAUGUGAAAUCCCCGGGCUCAACCUGGGAACUGCAUUCGAAACUGGCAGGCUAGAGUCUUGUAGAGGGGGGUAGAAUUCCAGGUGUAGCGGUGAAAUGCGUAGAGAUCUGGAGGAAUACCGGUGGCGAAGGCGGCCCCCUGGACAAAGACUGACGCUCAGGUGCGAAAGCGUGGGGAGCAAACAGGAUUAGAUACCCUGGUAGUCCACGCUGUAAACGAUGUCGAUUUGGAGGUUGUGCCCUUGAGGCGUGGCUUCCGGAGCUAACGCGUUAAAUCGACCGCCUGGGGAGUACGGCCGCAAGGUUAAAACUCAAAUGAAUUGACGGGGGCCCGCACAAGCGGUGGAGCAUGUGGUUUAAUUCGAUGCAACGCGAAGAACCUUACCUGGUCUUGACAUCCACAGAACUUUCCAGAGAUGGAUUGGUGCCUUCGGGAACUGUGAGACAGGUGCUGCAUGGCUGUCGUCAGCUCGUGUUGUGAAAUGUUGGGUUAAGUCCCGCAACGAGCGCAACCCUUAUCCUUUGUUGCCAGCGGUUAGGCCGGGAACUCAAAGGAGACUGCCAGUGAUAAACUGGAGGAAGGUGGGGAUGACGUCAAGUCAUCAUGGCCCUUACGACCAGGGCUACACACGUGCUACAAUGGCAUAUACAAAGAGAAGCGACCUCGCGAGAGCAAGCGGACCUCAUAAAGUAUGUCGUAGUCCGGAUUGGAGUCUGCAACUCGACUCCAUGAAGUCGGAAUCGCUAGUAAUCGUAGAUCAGAAUGCUACGGUGAAUACGUUCCCGGGCCU